rnacentral:rRNA from 1 species
CUUACCUACGGGAGGCAGCAGUGGGGAAUAUUGCACAAUGGGGGAAACCCUGAUGCAGCGACGCCGCGUGAGCGAAGAAGUAUUUCGGUAUGUAAAGCUCUAUCAGCAGGGAAGAAAAAUGACGGUACCUGAGUAAGAAGCACCGGCUAAAUACGUGCCAGCAGCCGCGGUAAUACGUAUGGUGCAAGCGUUAUCCGGAUUUACUGGGUGUAAAGGGAGCGCAGGCGGUGCGGCAAGUCAGCGGUAAAAUUUCGGGGCUCAACCCCGACGAGCCGUUGAAACUGGCUUGCUAGAGUGGUCGAGAA